GCCCUGGUGGUGAAAUUGGUAGACACAAGGGAUUUAAAAUCCCUCGACUUUAGAGUCGUGCCGGUUCAAGUCCGGCCCGGGGCACCA
rnacentral:tRNA from 1 species